UACGUAGGGUGCAAGCGUUAAUCGGAAUUACUGGGCGUAAAGCGUGCGCAGGCGGAUGUUUAAGUUAGAAGUGAAAUCCCCGGGCUCAACCUGGGAAUGGCUUUUAAGACUGGGCAUCUAGAGUUUGUCAGAGGGGGGUGGAAUUCCAAGUGUAGCAGUGAAAUGCGUAGAGAUUUGGAGGAACACCGAUGGCGAAGGCAGCCCCCUGGGAUAAAACUGACGCUCAUGUACGAAAGCGUGGGUAGCAAACAGG
rnacentral:rRNA from 1 species